UUAUUUCUGUGAAUCACUUUUGAUUGUAAGUUUUUCGGAGGUUUACAGAGGAAGGUUCACUAGCACAACUAUGUGUUAGAGUCAAUACAGAGUGUCUACACAAAUGCAAAGCAGACAGUACAGGAACAUAAGAGAUGUAGUUAUGGUUCAAAUCGAGCAUUAUUUAGGUGUUACAUGUGACAAGAAGGUAUACUGGAAUGCAAAACACAUUUCAAGGUAAAUAGACUAACGAACGGACAUCAUGGUAUUUUGACAGACAUGUUAGACAACAAGACAACAAGGGAACCAAAAAGGCCUGAAAGGACGGGGAGAAUUCAG